UACGUGGGGUGCAAGCGUUGUCCGGAAUUAUUGGGCGUAAAGAGCUCGUAGGCGGUCUGUUGCGUCGGCUGUGAAAACCCGGGGCUCAACUCCGGGCCUGCAGCCGAUACGGGCAGACUAGAGUUCGGCAGGGGAGACUGGAAUUCCUGGUGUAGCGGUGAAAUGCGCAGGUAUCAGGAGGAACACCGGUGGCGAAGGCGGGUCUCUGGGCCGAUACUGACGCUGAGGAGCGAAAGCGUGGGGAGCGAACAGG
rnacentral:rRNA from 1 species